UACGUAGGGUGCGAGCGUGUCCGGAAUAUUGGGCGUAAAGAGCUCGUAGGCGGUUUGUCGCGUCUGCUGUGAAAACCUGAGGCUCAACCUCGGGCUUGCAGUGGGUACGGGCAGACUAGAGUGCGGUAGGGGAGAUUGGAAUUCCUGGUGUAAGCGGUGGAAUGCGCAGAUAUCAGGAGGAACACCGAUGGCGAAGGCAGAGUCUCGGGCCGUAACUGACGCUGAGGAGCGAAAGCAUGGGGAGCGAACAGG
rnacentral:rRNA from 1 species